rnacentral:rRNA from 1 species
AGCCGCAGCGAAAGCGAGUCUGAAUAGGGCGAAUUAGUACGUGGUCGUAGACCCGAAACCAGGUGAUCUACCCAUGUCCAGGGUGAAGGUGAGGUAACACUUACUGGAGGCCCGAACCCACGCACGGUGAAAAGUGCGGGGAUGAGGUGUGGGUAGCGGAGAAAUUCCAAUCGAACUUGGAGAUAGCUGGUUCUCUCCGAAAUAGCUUUAGGGCUAGCCUCGUGAUGAGAAUACUGGAGGUAGAGCACUGUUUGGACUAGGGGGCCAUCCCGGUUUACCGAAUUCAGACAAACUCCGAAUGCCAG